rnacentral:rRNA from 1 species
UUCGUAGGCGGCUUUGCAGGUGGGGUGUGAAAUCCCCCGGCUCAACCGGGGAACUGCGCUCCAAACCGCAAAGCUUGAGGGAGAUAGAGGUGAGCGGAACUCACGGUGGAGCGGUGAAAUGCGUUGAUAUCGUGAGGAACACCGGUGGCGAAAGCGGCUCACUGGGUCUCUUCUGACGCUGAGGAACGAAAGCUAGGGGAGCGAACG